UUUUUUUUUUUUUUUGCUACAUGGACUUUUAAAUAUGCUAUUUGAUUAUUAAAGCAGUCUUUCUUACCCUUUAAAUUGUAUCAGCACAACGGCCUCUUCCCAGAUGUGCCAUUUAAGUAUUUCCUGAUCAGAGUGUUACAUCUGCUGUAGGAGAGAAAAAGAAAGACAAAUUGAGUGGUCCAUAGCUAAAAACAAAGCUGGGAAGUGAACCAAGGCACUGAGUGCUCACCAUUGUCUGCCCUUCCUGAGUUGCUGUUUUGUUUGUCUUUCUGUGUUGUUUUUAUUUUCAAAAAUACCAGACAGAGACAGGAUUAUAAGUGUAAUUAAAAAUCCUUAGGAUUUGUCUCCCUGUCUUGAGCACUUUUCUAAACACAAGGUCUCCACAAGAAACUAGCUAAUGGAAAUUUGAUGUCUGUUGUCAAAUAUCUGCCUAAAAACACUUUAAUGUUUAAUGUUCAGGAAUACAAUAUAACAGCUCUUCAAAAAUCAAUAUUCUUAAAUACUCCAUUUGAGAACCCCAAAACAGAAUAUCUAAUAUCUAUUAGGUUCCUCCCUCUGAUUUUGUUUUUCCUAUUGAGUUCAUAAAUGGCAUAAAAAGAUGCCAUGGCUAGAAAGCAAAUAAAUUCUGUUUCUGGGAAGAUGAUUUAAAGAUUCCUUUCAAAAGAAUUGUGCAUGGCAUCUUUUGAAUUUUGCUGCCCAUUUUCCCCACAUAGAGAGAGCAGCUAGAGAUUGCUUUAUAUGAGGGAUAGUUUUUGACCUUGGACAGCUCAGCAAAAUAGUAAGGUUUGUAAUUUGGCUAUUAGUACGUUAUUAAUUAAAUGCUAUAGCUGGAAGGAGGAAAGACUAAAUGUAAAGUAAAAUAUGAAAUAAGUAAAAAGAAUUGUGACUCUCCUGCAGCUCUGUGUGAGUUCAAUUCAGAUGCUAGCUGGAUCUUCACCUCAGUCAAUGUCUGCUGUGGAGGGGAGGGCUGUGUGUGAGCUCCCUGCUUCCAGCAGUGCUGGAAUAUUGUUAACAUCCAUGUCACACUCCCCUUCUGUACCACAGGCAUAAACCCUUUCCAUUGGUGUUGGCAUUUUGCUCAUCAAAGCCACAGAUGCAGGACUAUGAUCUUUUUCUGCAGGCAUGGGGGAGUUUCUUCAGUGUGAGUUUUCUGCUAGAAGCUCUGCAAUAGUCACUUCUGGGAGUGCAGGGGCUGGGGGCGUUCCUGGUGUCCCAGAUAAAGCAGAGUGGGAAUGCCCAGGGGAGCUGGGCACUGCUCCUGCCCUGUGCCUCCAGAGCUGAAGUCUGCCUCCAGCAGGAGAGAAGAGAGGAUGAGGAGGGCUGCAAACCCACAGGGCUCAGCAGGUCUGGGUGAAGGCAGUCCUUCUCCUGGGUGCUGCCUCUGUUCACUAGGGCAGGGAGCUGAGCCUGGCUUGGGGUGGAUACUCGGUGAAGAUCUAUGGGCUGGGAUGGAUGCAGAAAUUCUUCAUUCACACACACCAACUCUGUGUAAACUAGGGAGCAUGAAUUUGUUGAACUUUAUAGCUUUCUUGCCUGUUUUAUUUGUCUAGAAAUCUUGAUUUCUAUCACAGAUGGGGAGCACAUCACCAGCCAUUCUAAGCCAAUAUAUGGGCCCACUGUGAAUGCUGUGACUUGCUCAAUGCUUUAAAGACAUGCAGAGCUUUGUAAAGAAACCAUCAAUAAAAAAGAGCUUAUAAGAGGCAUAAAGUUCAAACAUACUGUGCUUUCUUGUUUAUAACAAGAUUUGUGUUCUUUUUUUUUUUUUGACAUGCAUUUUAUUAAAACUUUCAUCGAUUUAUUAAAACUUCCAUAAUUUUAUUCUCUCCAUUCAUGUUACUUAAUCUCAAGCACCAUUAUAACCCAUCUCCAAGGGGAAAACUCUUCCUUGUUGGUGUGAGGUGUUUGGAAGCUGGUAAUGGCUGUAGCAUUACAGCUCUCCUACGAUGUGCUGCCAGAGCAAGGCUGAUGGAGCUGAGUGAUCAUCAAUGCACAUUUCACUAAUUUAGGGCAAUGUGAAGCCUUCGUGUUCCAUGAAAAUUUCAUGCCAGGGUGCUGUUUGCUCCAGAAAGUAAGAGAGACUCUGCUCUUUCUCUUUAGCAGUUUCCAGAAAUUUAGGAUGAAUUUCAUUUAACUUAAGAUCCAUAUGUUCAUCAUAUCAUGAUCAAUGAUAAAUAGUUUUGAGUCAUGACUGGUAUUUUGAACAUAUGACAUUCCUCAAUGUAUUAUUUUGGACACUCUUACUCCAGGCACAUGGAGCAGUUUUGAUUCAAGGUGAACUACAUCAGUCACCAAAAUUAGGGGGUUAUUGCUAGAGGAAGAAAUUCCUUCUCUUUCUCCUAGAAGUCAGCAGUGUAUGCCAGCAUGUAUUUUUUACUAUAUUGGUUUUAUAAGAACAGUUUCUCACUUUUACUCAUUUGAGAAUUGAAUUAGUUUUUGCUGCUGCUUCACUGACUCCACAGAACAUUUCCCCACAAUCAUUUAACAUGCUAUUAAAUUCUAGAGUAUGUUGUCAGUACAUCUGAUAAUUUGAUUUUGAAUGAUGUUUGUGUCAUUACUAAGUAUUUUAGUCAGCAACAACAAUGUUGGUAAUAUGUAGUGAUGCUUUUAGCAAUGAGCUCAAAAAGAGAUGCAGAAGCCCUGGUGUAAAGCUGGCAGUGGACAGAAUGGAUGACUCCUGAAGCCAUUAUCUUCCAACAGCUUCUGGGGUUCAAUUCAUUUAAACUUGCUGCUUUUGCAUUUUCAUCAGCUUCUUCAGUUUCUUCUGUUUAGUCAAAACUGUGCAAAAUUGGAUUUCAUAAAGCUAUUUUUAAACAGUUUGGAGCUUCGAAUCUACAGGACAUGAAACACUCUGAGGAUUGCACUUCUCUCUAAAUAUCUUUAUGUUGCAUGUUGUUAUUCAGGGGCUAUAAAAGCCAGAUGAGAUCUAACAGAUUAUUAACUGUGGCCAGCUAUUGAUUCUCCCAUUCUGGGCCUUGUUGCACAGUGCAGCUCAUUCCCCUGGAAAUGAAUCCUAUUGAAGCUGUGCCAGUUGGAAAGUACCAAACAUGAGAAAUAUUUGGUGUGAUCAAGUACCACAUUUGACAGAAGAAGUUACCUUGGCUUAAGCAAUUGAUCAUGUGGAAGAUUUGUACAAAAGCAAAGAAGGAAAAACCUGGUUGCUUAAUAAUGCAGAUUUAUCUUGUUACCCAUAAAUAUUCAUGUUUAGGUAAAAUGUGUUUAUGUCUGGGGCCCUAUGUUGCCAAUCUGUUGACAGCACAAGUGGUUUAUGGGGUGUCCAUCCCAAUCCAAGGGCUCCCCAGUGGCCUCCUCUUCAUCCUCUCCCACCAGAGAGUGGUGGUCUCUGUGAACAUCUGUGUGAUUGUGCUUUAACACAAAGCUGUGAUGUGAUCUAAUUGAAUAAAAAAAAAAAAAACCAAAAAAACAGCACCAAUGACUGGGAGCCAAGGUGGCUUAAAUUCACCUUUUCAGGUUCUGGAAGUGCCCAGACCUGCAGUCAGCAAACAGAAAUUGCAUGGGCUGUUCCAGUUAGUGCCUCUUGCUCUGCUGACUUUGCCAUCUAUGCCCUGAUGCUGCAGGUCUCUGCUGGCUGGGGCUGUCUGAAGCUUUCUGGGUGCUGUGGCAGCCCAGCUUCCUCUGGUUCCAUCCCACAGGAUAACCCAGAGCAGCCAGGUGCUACAGGCAGGGCUGGGGCCAUUACAGGGAGGUGUCACUACACUGAGGUGACAGGGGACAGGGACAAGGUGACCUGGCCACCACUGGUCACUCUGGGCUGCUGUGAGGACACAGCAAAUGCUCCCCAGUCCUUCAGCCUGGGUGAGGUCACCUGGACAUGCUCACCUGGACAUGCUUUGCCCCAGCCCAAGGAAUGGGGAUGUGGAGUAGCUGCUGCCUUUCCCACCAUUUGGCCUCAGGCCCAGGAUCACUCCCUGGCACUCUUCAUUAGCAGGACAAACAGCUUUGCUUUGCUUUCUCCUGGGGUUUUGGGGUUGGUUUGAUUGUUUUGCUGGGGAUAGGAGAAGUGAUAUACCAUGAUUAGUAGGAAAGCUCUUAAUUUGCUGCUUAUUGGGUUUUGUGUGUUUUUGGUUUCUCCCUAAAAGACUUGUCCUAGAGAAUUCUCCUGUGGCUUGUGAAUGCUUUGCUUUGUGAACAUUUAAUCCAGCGUGGGCUUCAACAGUAAUUAGUAACAUGGAUAUUUAUGGAGACAUUCUAACCUGCUUUGUUCAUGAAUAUUUCACCAUGGUGGAAAUUUCACACCCAAUAAAUCACUAAUGAAAAUGUCAUUUCCCAGCUGCAUUUACCUGAUGUGCUGUUAAUCUUGCUGUACCCAUUGGAGGUAGAAUUACUGUCAGAUUUGCAACACAGAGAGGAAUUGAUUUUUAAUUAGUGACCCCAAUAGUGUAGGUUAAAAAUUAUUUUUAAAUGGUGAUUUAAUGGCCCUUUUCAUAUAAUGGCAUCAGCUUCAUUGCCUGUACUGAUGUUUUCUAGGCUGCUAUUCAAGCAGAUGCUUUGAAGGACAACAUAAGAACCAUUGGGAUUGAAGGGAUCAAGGAGAGCAGUGGUGUGGGGAAGGUGGAUCUGAAAGCAAGAAGUGUCAGAGAAACCACAUGAAACCCAGUACCCUUUGUACUGACAAAUCUCACAAGCCAAAAUGUCACUCUACUUGCAUUUGGUCUCUUCCCAGUGUGAUCCUCAACUGGGCCAUUCAAUUCUAGGAUGACAUUUCAUGAAGGAAAUUAUUACAAGAUAGAUUAUUGUGUUUGGAAAGAUCAUAAAUCAUUUUGCCUGUUUGAUGAGUCUUAUCCAUUUUCCUUAAGUAAUUGAUAUCAUGGCCAGCAUUCCUGUGGACAGACAUCUCUAAUUUAAGGGAAAGCAGAAUAGCACAGCGCAAAAAGAGUAUGGCUUCCCUGAUAUUGUCACUGCAGUUAAUUGGCUGAAUGAAAAAAGUUAAUGAAAUAGUAGAAUAGGAUGAUCACUUUAAAAAGACCAGUAAAAAGGGAAUGAAUCAUGCCAUAGGAGGGAGCUAUAGCAUUCUCCUUUCCUGAAAGUCAGGCUCUCUAGCUGCAUCUUAUUAUCCUG
ensembl:lncRNA